UACAGAGGGGGCAAGCGUUGUUCGGAAUUACUGGGCGUAAAGGGCGCGUAGGCGGCCCUGCUAAGUCGAACGUGAAAUCCCCCGGGCUCAACCCGGGAACUGCGUCCGAUACUGGUAGGCUUGAAUCCGGGAGAGGGAUGCGGAAUUCCCCGGUGUAGCGGUGAAAUGCGCAGAUAUCGGGAGGAACACCAAUGGCGAAGGCAGCUCGCUGGGACGGUACUGACGCUGAGACGCGAAAGCGUGGGGAGGCAAACAAGG
rnacentral:rRNA from 1 species